GUUGAGGGGAAUGUUGUCUGGUUCGAGACAAUUCAAUUCGAAGUUCGAGGCUUCAUCUGAACGAUUUCGGACUAGGCUUCAUUCCCCUCAAC
rnacentral:pre_miRNA from 1 species